UCAUCGAAUUUUUAUGAAAACCUUAUGAACUUUUUUUUAGAUCUGAAGCGUUUUUUUUGGGAAACCUAAAAAAUUAUAUUUUCGGUGUGCCACAAGGUACAAUUCUUGGAGCUGUACUAUUCCUAAUAUUCAUAAACGACUUAGCAAAUUUCUUAAAUGUGAUAUUUUAAUCUUUAUAUCAUAUUUUAUUGGUCUAUAACUUAUUUUUAAUAAUUUCAUUUACUUAUCUGUGCAAUUUCUUUCUCUAUUUGACUAUUUUAUAUACUUAUGUAUCCAGCAUAUAUUCAUUUAUUCAAAGACAUAAACUAAUCCCAAUUUGUCUAGAAUUCCAUAAAAUUGGAUCUGACAGUUUAUAAAGAAAACAUUCAAGAGAUUUUUGUUCAUUUUCGAGAGUACAUUUAUGUUAUUCUUUUCCUCAAAUAUUCUAUAGACGUUUUUCUGAUAUAAGUGCAUAGAUUACAAUUAAUAGUUUUAUAAUACAUCUAUUCCAUAGAGUAAUAAAUAUCUUGAUUACUCUGAGAUCUAUUAAAAACCAUCAAUCUAAUGUCAAGAAUGCAUCAAAAUUGCAACUAACUGAAAUUAUUCCCAAUAAAAUAAUUGCAAAUGAUAUAAAAUCACAGAGUUCCAACUGAAUUUCAAUAGAGGUUCCUCAAUUUACUGGAUUCGUCAAAAGAUAAUAAUGCAGUUGAAAAACAGGUUGAUAUUUGUUGUAAUUUCAAUACUUUUUCAACUAAAGCAUUCAAAUGGAAAACUAUUAGUGAGAAAAGAAGUCCUUAAUGAAAUGUUAUUCACCGAUCAAGAUACAGUAAUAAAAAAUACCGUUUAUAAUAUUGGCAAUAGAAGGGUUGACAACAUAACAUUGUACGACUUAUUGCCAGAAUAUUUUUCAGUUGUGGCAGGUCAGUCGAAAAUUGAUAUAAGCAAAUUAGAACCUGAUGAGAUCCUGACUCACUUGAUUGUAGUAAGGCCAACAAUUUCGGGAAUGUUAUCUUUAAGUGAAGCGCAAGUGAAGUAUAUUGUUGACAACACACAGAUACUAUCCCACAGUACAAAGAUCGAAGGACUUAUUGUUCAGUCGGAAAAGUUGUACUACAAAAUGUUUUCAUAUAAUAAGAAAAAUUGGUUUAGAGCGAUGACAUUUGUGGCAAUGAGUAUUUUUAUGCCUUUUAUACUUUGGAAAUCUACAGAAAGAGACUUUCAGAUGUAUAUGAUCAAAUGAUAUGUCAUUUAAUUGAAUUUAUAUCUGCACAAGAAGUUAUUUGGCAGAUUUAUCAAAUACCAAGUUUAUCCAACAUGGCGUCAGUGACGUCAUUUGGAAGUAUAAACAAUUAAGGCCUUAUAAGAAAGCAUUUGUGUUCAUUAUUAGUUAGUAUAUUCAUUCAUUAAGAUCAAUUUUAUGCAUGUAAUUCAAAUAUUAUUAUUUGAUAGUAUUUCAUUUAUCCAUAACACAAUGUUUCAAUGUAUGGGGAAAAGAACAUAAAAACGUUUUUGCGACAUGGAUGCGACGCUGGAGGAUGCAACCACCUGGCACCCAGUAAAAUCAAAGCUUGUGACAUUCAAUCAUAAAAUCAAAAUCAAUUUCCCAUAUAUCAACAUAAACAACAACAAGAAUCAAUAAAGUUUGUUUUCUCUCUAG